CAUCUACCUGGCCCUUUUGUUGAUAAAUCCAUUGCGCAAUGGUAAGCUUCUUGUGGCUCCGCUUUGAACUAGUGAGACAUGUUGUAUCUGCAUGAAUUUGGUCCAUCUUAAUAGUAUGGAAUGCCUUUACAACAAUAUAUGUGAUCCUUGACUAGUUAGUUUCUAGAAUGCUAGUCCGUAUGGAAUCUUUUUUAUAUCUUUUUUAAUGCGAGUCAGCACCAAUCCUUGACAGGGUGACCGUGGAAGGGAUGGAAGUUCAUAUUGCUGUUUGUAAUGAAGGUCACAGCCUAAUCCUGACUAUGGUCGUCUAGUGAGUAUGGCAUAUGGUUCAUAUGACAGGAGCAUGUGCCCAGUUUGUGAUCGCUAUUGACAGGAGCUCCAUUCUGAAGAAGAUUGAAGACAAUUGUGGAGUUGUAAAUUACUGUAGCUAGCUAUCACACUUGUAGAGCUUGUAAUAUUGUGAUUCCAAUUGUAUUACGUGUUAUUGGUAGAGCAAGAGCUCCAUACUGAUUCUGGCUGUUAUUAUUUGAAGUAUUACAUGUGUUUUCUGUCUGUUUGAAUUUAAAUAUUUGU
rnacentral:lncRNA from 1 species